UGUGGGGGCAUAGCUCAACGUCCUCCCGUUCUGUUCUCAGUUCAUCCCCAUGGACGGCAUCAACUUCCCCAAAUACCAGUCCAUCAUCUACCACCCCUCCCUCCUACCCCGCCACAGGGGAGCUUCCGCCAUUAAUUGCCGGGGCUGAACAAUCAAACGUACCACCAUCCCAGCCAGCACCCCCACCGCCGCCCGCCCCACUCAUCAUCAACCCCCGGAACCCGGGCAGCUCUGUGGACCCCCCACCUCAUGGAGCUCCUCGUUGGCGACGACUCAGGAUCAGGUUACCACCCCCCUGACUUUGCUCUGCUACUUUACAAAACGUGGAUUCAAAGAAACCAACAUGCGUGUUAUCUGUGGGGUAGAUCCCAAUGUCAGAUCUUCACUUGUAAAAAUACCUGUCUACAAGAAACAGAGAACAAAGAAUUGAAAUAAUACCAAUUAAAGAAUGCUUUAACUGAUAAUUCCGUGAAACUGAAAAAUGUAUAUAUGAACUUAUGUAUACCAGAUUGCCGAGGAUAUAGUUUAACUUCUGAAAUUUUAAUUCAUUGUGAUAUCAACUCAGUAUGAUUUAAAAUAAGAUAUUUGAAUAGAUUUCAAAUUGUGUUUUUCUGAAGUCAUGGAAUGC